CAACUCACUGUCCGUCUUCCCGGAAAAAGGAGCGAACAUUUCUCGACUGGAACAAAAUCAACAGAGCAGCAGAAGAAAUCGCGCUAUCGUGGAAGAACGAUAUCUCGAUUCCCUCAACGGGUUUCAGCGCUCUGCUCUCCGUCGUCAGUCUACUGCUGGUUGGUUACAGUGAGUGAAGAUUUCGGGUUGGAAUACCGCAAACAAUGGCGUCGGUGCCCUCCAAGAACAUGUGGAUACGGCGACAGCAUUGCCCCUGCGGAGAUUGGAAGUGUUGCAUCGCGGUCGAAGGUGAGAGUGAAGAGACCCCUUUAGCUCCCCACAUGGUAAAAACGAAAUCUUUCUCGCCCGACUCUAUGGUUGCCCCUUACGUGGGAAUGCUCUUCAAGAGCGACGAUGACGCGUUCGAGUACUACGCGAGUUUUGCGAGGAAAAACGGGUUCUCGAUCAGGAAGGAGCGGUCUAGGCUUAGUCCCCAGUUGGGCAUCUACAAGCGUGACUUCGUUUGUUACAGGGCGGGUUUUGCCCCAGCGAGGAAGAAGCCCACUGGGGAGCACCACCGGGACAGGAAAUCGGUCCGAUGUGGAUGCGAUGCUAAAAUGUACUUGUCGAAGGAGGUCGUUGAAGGGGUUUCUCAGUGGUGUGUUGUUCAGUUCAGUAAUGUCCAUAAUCACGAGUUGUUGGAAGACGAUCAAGUCUGUCUCUUGCCUGCGUAUAGAAAGAUUCACGAGGUCGAUCAGGAGAGGAUACUGUUGUUAUCCAAGGCCGGGUUCCCGAUUCACCGCAUAGUGAAGGUAUUGGAAUUGGAGAAGGGGUAUCAGGGCGGACAACUUCCUUUCCUUGAGAGGGAUGUUAGGAAUUUCAUUCAGAACCGUAAGAAGGUCAUUCAAGAGAACGAUACAAUGCUGAAUGAGAAGAGAGAAAGCGAUAUCGUUGAGCUUCUUGACGCAUGCAGGGCAUCUAAGGAGGCAGACGAAGGAUUCAGUUUUGAUUAUACUGUGGACGGAAACAAUAAGGUAGAGAAUGUCGCUUGGUCUUAUAGUGAUGCAACCAAUGCGUUUUCAGUAUUCGGUGACGUGGUCUACUUUGACACCUCCUAUCGGUCGAUCACUUAUGGAAUGUUGUUCGGGGCAUGGCUUGGAAUCGAUAACUUUGGGAAAACCAUCUUCUUUGGAUGUGGUCUGUUACAGGAUGAAACACAGCAGUCCUACUCGUGGGCUUUACAGACUUUCGUACGGUUCAUGAAUGGAAGAUUUCCUCAAACAAUUGUGACGGAUCUAGAUGUCAGCCUCAAAGAUGCUGUAAGAAGCGGUUUGCCAAGCACUAAACACGUGAUUUCUGUGUCUAGCAUCUUACCCAAGCUAUCAAGCUGGUUCUCUGUUCCUCUCGGCUCACAGUAUGAGGAAUUCCGAUCAGAAUUUGAUUCUAUAAAUUGCAUCGAGACUGCAGAGGAUUUCGAUUUUCAGUGGAACCAGAUGGUUUCUCGGUUCAGCCUUGGAUCGGACAAACAUAUUGCUCUACUUCAUUCUGUGAGGGUUUCUUGGGCUCCCUCGCAUACGAGGGGUUACUUGCUCGCUCGAAUUACAAGCCCAGUGUUCUUAAAGUCAGUGGAUACUUUCCUAAAAGGAAUCUUUGGUGCACAAACAUGUCUGAGGAGCUUUUUUGACCAGGUCGGUGUCUCAGCUAAUUUUCAAAACCAGUCACACAAUGUGAUGCAGUAUUUGCAUUCAAGAACAUGUCUACCAAUUGAAGAUCAUGCUCGUACAGUUCUUACUCCGUUCGCUUUCAAUGCUUUGCAGCAUGAGUUAGUGUUCUCCAUGCAAUAUGCCUUGUCUGAUAUGGCCAACGGGUCAUACCUUCUACGCCAUUAUAAGAAGAUGGACAGUGAGCGUCUUGUUGUGUGGGUACCAGAAGAAGAACAGCUCUGCUGUCCCUGUAAAGAAUUUGAAUCUUCAGGAAUCUUGUGCAGGCAUGCACUUCGAGUUUUCAUAGUGAAGAAUUAUUUUCAGCUGCCUGAUAAGUACUUUCUCAGCAGAUGGAGGAAGGAGAGCUCUCUUAUGUUUUAUGAUGAUCAGCCUGCUCAGCAUAAUGACGAUGAGUGGUUUGGAGAGUAUCAGUCUCUCACAGAAACUCUCUUUGCUGAGUCAUCAAUUACGAGGGAGCGCUCUGAUUAUGUCCGUGGAGAGUUAAUGAAAGAACUCCAGAGGCUUCUCAAUGAAGUGAGGCAUAUGCCUGAUAGUGACGGUAUAGCAGUGGAACUGAGUCUAUCUCCCACUGGUUGAUAUUGUCUACGGGAUCUAGUCCUUCAAGGUGAAAAACUAGAAAGAUGAUAUCAAAUGCCAGGAAUGUGGUUAAGGCCUGAAGAGUCUAAGAGUUCUUCUAAUGUGUGGCUUCCAAGUGGGAUAGUCUGUGAAAGAUGGUGGACUCUGUUGAUUUAAACCUAAAGAUAAAACUGCUACAAGAUGAGAAAUGAAGAUGAGCUGAGGAGAGGAGAUAGAAGACUUGUUUCUUGGACUGGACUAGUUGCCAUUCAACAAUAUGUUUACUGGCACACUGCCUCAUUCUGUGUCUAAUAGCAGAAGAAAGUGAAUUGGAAAUCACAAAAUUUGGGAAAUAUCCAUGUUGGGGUUAUAAGAUCAGCAGAGUCAAAGACCCCCUUCACAGUGCCCUCCCUUAUGGGAACCUUCUAAAGAAACCCUUCUUGGAGGCUUAUCUGAGCUAUGAAAUAUGGAUCUUAUGGUGAAAGUAAUCUGGAUCAGAACUGAAAUAGUCAGACCGAGGCUGAAGCACGGAUGAACUGGAGAGUUGCAAGUGGUAUUCCUCUACAAUCCACAUUUCUGAACAGUAAGGCCAGGGCUCAAAUCAGAUUUGAUGGAUUCUGCUGUAAAUUGGAUCUUCAUGAGGCCAUGUUCACAUGCCUCCCUCGGAUAGCUCUGAAGAAGCGCCAGAGUUGUACUCACGUGUACAUAUAUUCUUCAAUUAUUGAGAUGCCUCCACUGCAACAGUAACAUCUUGAUUUAGAGCUCAAAUAUCUGUUCAUGGGACAGCAUGCAUCUGCAGGUGAAGUUGUGCCAAUCAUUCAUUUCAUUCCGUCAAAUCUGAAAAUCGUUUGCCCAGAAGGGAAAAGGGGCCCAACCCCAUCUGAGGAGUUGCAUUUUGCCCCCAUGAUAUUUUUCUUCAGCAGCAGAAGUGAUGGAAGAACUGGUGAAAAAGUAGAAUUCCUCGGAGCCACAUCAUAAGUGUGCGACUCUCAUGGAGCUGUCGGUUUUCAUGCAACAGUAAUAGACUCAAUCCCUUGUCGUCCCUUAGUCCUUUGUCUGCAGCUCUCCUCAACCAUCAUCCCUUCCAUUGGAACUCAGCUCUGUGAAUGAAAUACACUCAUCUGUGGUAAAUAAUACAUGGCCCUUCCUUCCUUCCUUGUCUGUGAGCUCUCGGGGCUUUUGUGCCUUGGCUUUACUUUCGAGGGGGAAGCUUACAAGAAUACCGAGUUGUAAUACAUGACUGAUUGUAUGCCCAGAUCAGAAAAUGAACGCGCUAUACGGUCAUGAUUGGCAUUGUAAAAUGGUUUGUUUACGUUAUCAAUUAUUUGAAAGCCGACUUGUUUACGUUCUCAAUUAUUUGAAAGCCGACAUAUACUUGUAUGGAUCGUUUCCUAGUGACGAUGUGGAACAUGAAGGACAGGUACUGAUCGUUUCAAUUAUUUGAAGAUUAGGCCCGAUCCUGGGCUCAUAUUGAAUUA